CCGGGAGAUUGUGAAAACUUCUACUCAAGUCCCUAAGGGUGGUUUUAGGGACAAACGCACAAUACCCACAUGAAUGUACCUGGUUCUCAAAGUUUUUCUGGCAUCAUUAACUUGGAGAAACCUGUGAUUUGCUGUUUGGCUGCCAUAAUAAGAUACCUCAAAGAGUUUAACUUGGAAAAGAUACUCUCCAAACCCGAGUAAGUGGUGUCUCAAGUCAAAAGGGCAGGUGGAGAGUUACAGUAAAAAUGUUUCAACUUUAGUAUGUGUUAUAUUCAGAGGAUUUACCUGCUUUUGGUAGAAUUCCCUAGGACAGGACAGAGAAAGACUCUUUGGUAGUACUGCUGCAGAAUAAUACAAAUAUUAAUUAACUUAAAAUAUUGAUAAAAUUCUGGCAGCUUGUAUUCAUGGUAACCAUUUGGUAGAUUGUUUUGGCUGUGGAACUGUGCUUUCUCUUAAGGGGAUUAAGAAGUAGGUUUAGGGCCGGGGAUUUAGCUCAGUGGUUCCACUGCCUACCUUGCAAGCGCAAGAUCCCAGUUCUAUCCCCAGUACCAAAAAAAAAAAAAAAAGGAAGUAGAGUUAAAAGCAUUCACAACAUUUUGCUACUUUUCUAACUCCUGGUUUCAGCUCUUGUUUCACAGACUGUACAUUUGGAGAGAAAGGGGCGAGCUAUUAAUCCAGGUGCUUUUAGCAGAGUGACUAACUUGCAGAUUUCAGAAACGUCACCAGACAGUGGCUGUCAAGGGGAACGCUAGUGUAACGAGGUGACAGUGGGGUCGACUUCUUGCCUCUCUCUUUCUCCACCACCAACCCUGUCCUGCCGCCGUCAGGAGUCACCGCCCACCAGUGGCCCUGGGUCAGUGAACUCGGCACUCCGCAGGGCUGGCCAGCAGGGAGCUGGACAGUGGCGCUGACUUGAGGUGCUGGGCAGAGUGGGACAGGGAGCGUCCUUGGGAGUCUUGUCAUAAGGUCUCCGAUGUACUCUGUGCAGUCCUUGAUGAAACAGUGAUGCUUCUCUAGAGGCAUAGUUGUCCCGUUUGAAGCAGUGUAGAUGGCAUCGCAGGGAAAUGGGUUUGUUGUGUCACGUGUGUGCCAUGCACAGUGAGUGUCUGUAGGACCAACAGAGUGAACUGAGCUGGAAGUCGGUGUGUGGGAGGGCGUGGCACACACCGCUCCAAGAGGACCCCUUGCUAGGUCAGGAGUUGCUUCUUCUGGGGAGGAGGAGGAAGAUGAUGGUGCGUGAUGGCUCAGAGGCAUUUGAAUCACUUAAACUUUUUUUUUUGGUACUGGGGAUCAAACUUGGGUCCUUGCGCUUGUGCAGCAGGCAGCAGAACCACUGAACUAAAUCCCUGGCCCUGAAUCACUUAAACUUUUAACCUGGUGUUAUAUUAACCUGUGAGUGUUCUAGUAUGGCCGAAGGGUUUUACUUUUAGAAAGUGGCGGCCUGCCAUGAUGCCUCAGUGGAUGCUGCUUUAACCCCACAGUUAGGCUAUUGGAGAGGCCCAUCUGUGUGGUUGAUGGUGUUAAAAAUUUUUAAAAAUUUAAAGAAGCAAGAAACAAAAGAAGAAACAUGCUGUACUAUGUACACGUAACGAUUCCCCAAGACUAUUGUAAGCUACAUGAACUGCAAACGUACAAAAAAACAAAAACAAAAAAACCCCAAAGAACAAGCCAUCUGCAUUGGGCUUGAGAAGCUUCAGUGCUGGAGAAGCUUCAGCAAAGUAGUCAGGGAUGGACAGCUCGCCCAGGAAGGAAGCAGCACCAAGGAAGGAAGAGUUAACAUCGGAGUAGUGAAACUGUCCCCUGCUUUGUAAAAUCAGAUUCUGAUGUGUCUGGGUGAUGAUUUGAGACUGAAAGAGUGUGUCCUCUCAUAUUGAGUUAAAAUAACAGCAAACAAUGAAGCAAAGCGAUAGGCCCUCAUUUUGUAUGUGUUCCUAGCUCCUCGUAGACAGUCAGAAAAUAUGGAGUUAAUGAAAGAAGGAAGGAAUUCCAGAUCCUGGAGAGUGGAUUUAGUUGGAAAUUGCCACAAAGACAUUGGAAGCAGGAAGAGCGGCUGCAGAUGGCGACCAGACUGGACUGCUGCAGCCUGGGUGGUGGGGCUUCACAGGUGGUAUGUGACUUCACUCUGGAGACCAUGCCAGGGGACUAGGUCUGCAGGCCGUGUAGUUUGGAAAGACAAAGCAACCUCUUGAGGCAGUUACUUUGGAAAAAGUGAAUAUUCUCCUUGUGUAUGAAAUGCGGUUGUAUUACUUUAUAAUCAUGUUAUGCUGCUGAACUUUUGAACUUGUACUUUAAGACUUGUAUUGUCAGGAAAAAUGAAUUCAACUUGAGUUGCUUUGUUUAGUGAAUGCUUUCAUAAAAAUUGCUGCAUAUAUUAUAAAAUCGAGGAGCAUUUAUUUCAAGGUCUUUGUGCCUUUACAAUAGAAUUUGAGGUGGUGGAAGAAGAUAUACCAUUUCAGGAAUGAUUCUUAGGAGUAGGUGAAGUAAAGUGUUUUAAUAAGGGAAAAAUUUGAGGUUCCAAAAUUGUUUUGAGGAUUUAAGUGUGGCUAUUCCGAGCAGAAUAAUGUAACAGCAUAGCUAUAGCAUGAAGGACAGCAGGUGGAUCCUGGUGUAGUUUGGACGUUGAAUGUCCCAGAGGCCCACAGGUCACAGGUCACAGGUCACAGGCCUGGUCUCCAGCCUGUGGUGCUUUUGGGCGGAGAUGGGCCUGCAGGAGGAAGUGAGGUCACGGGGGCGUGUCCUCCAGGGGGACCCAGAUGCUGGCCCCUCCUGUCUCCCUCCGUGCUUCCUUUCCCACACACUGUCUGCCAUCAUGCGCUGCCUGGGCACAGGCCCAAAGGCGCCAGGCAAAUCAGCCAUGGCCUGGAACCUGUGAAGCGCCGAGCUAAGAUAACCUUUCCUCCUUAUAAGUUGAUUAUCUCAGGUAUUUUGUCACAGGAACAUAAAGCUAACAAUUAUGACAGAAUUAGUCCAAUUUUUUUUUUAAUUAGUCCAGUUCUUAAAGGUAUGACAUUUUAGAGGCAUUGGCUUUUUUUGUUAUCAGAAAUGAAUGCUUUGUCAUCUUGGACGAUUUUUCAUUGAGAUUAGUUUGGUCAGAAUUUUAAGUAAGCUUUGGCUUUGGAAAUUGUAGGAAAGAAUGAGAAAAUUCACCCAAGAUGAACUCUAAAACCUUUUUAUUAGAAAAUUGCUUAUAAAAACAGAAUGAUAAUACAUGGUGACUUCUUUUAUUUGUGAAUAUAGAGUUAAUAUAUAAGCUACUUAACGACAUCUAAUAGGUACAGGCCAGGGAUGCUGCCAAACAUUUAAACUCACAGGACAUCCCACUAUCCCCUAGAAGAAAAUAACAACAAUAAUAAUACAUCUCAACUGUCACUACUCCAAAACCAGGCAAAGACAUCCCAAGAGAAGAUACCACAGACUCAUGUAUCGUAUGAAUAGAGACGCAAAAUCUUCACCAAAGCACAAGCAGAUGGAUCCAGCAGUAUGAUAAAAGGACCAAGUACCAUGACUAUGUGAUUUAUUCCAGGAAUAUAGGGUUGGUUUAAGAAUCCAAAAACCAAUGAAUGUACUAUAUUUUGUCAGUGGAAUAAAAGACAAAGCUACAUAAUUAUCUCAGUAGACAGAGAAGCCUUUGGCAGAAAGCAACACCUUUUGAAAUACAAACACUCAGGAAAUUCACACUAAAAGGAGCUUGUUUGAGCUGAGGGCAUCCUGAAAGCCUUGCAGCUAACAGCACGCUUGUUGGUGGGGGUCUGAAUGCCUUUCACCCGAGAGCAGGAAGAUGAAGACGUCCUCUCCCACCACGUCAGCGCUGUCCUGGGUAUUCUAGCCAGCACUGUGCCACGUAAAGAUAAAGCCAAUAGGAAGGAAGUAAAGUAUUCAUUAUUUCAGAUGACUUGAACUCACAUAUAGAAAACCCUAAAGAAUUUCACAGAGACUGUUGGUGCUAAUAUACUGGUUCACAAAAAUAUAGGAUAUGAAAUAAAUAUAUAAAAAUCGUUUGCAGUAAAGAAUUUGAAAAUGAAAAUUAGAAAAUUCCUCUACAAUAGCAUGACAAAGAAUAAGAAUGAAUUUAAUAAAGAAAGAAGCAGAAAUUUCUACUUUGCACACUAUAAAACAUCCUAGAAAGGAAUUAAGACCUAAAAACGUGGAAAGGCACCCUAGGUUCACGGAUUAGAGACUUAAUGUUGGUAAACUAUAAUAUUCUCCAAACUGAUCUGUAAAUUCACUGCAGUCUGUAUCAGAAUCCCAGCCGGCUUCUCUGUGAAAAUCCACAAGCCAGUCCCCAAGUUCAUAGGAGAACGCAUGGGAGGCAGCAUACCCGCAGUUCUGAAAAAGGACAGAGUUGGGGGCUCGCUCCUGGCUCAAAACUGACUCUGAGGCUGGUGGCGAGACAGUGUGGCGCCAGUGUAGGAACUGACCUGGGGAGGCCGGAAGUGCAGCUUUACAUUUGCGGUGAAGACAGAACUGUGGCCAAUAGGUUUUUGUUUGUGUUUUCAACAAGCGGUUCCGGGACAACCAGAUGUCUGUGCAAGAGAGCGGAGUCGGACCCUUCUCUCCUGUCCUGCAGGAGCUGGAGAAUAACUCAAAACGGACCAAGGCGACCUUAAAACCCAGCGUGUAAGUUUUCAUGGCCAUGGAUUAGUCAGGGUUUUCUAAAUUGUGGUGUGAAAAGCAUAAAUGCCAAGAGCAAAAACCCCAGAUAUAUUGGACUUCGUCAAAAUUAAAAGCUUUUAUUUAAAGAUAACAUCAUGAAAGUGAAAAAAUAGCCCACCAAAUGGAAGAAAAAUUUUGCGACUCAUACAUCCAGUGAGGCACUGGACGUGGAGCUCAUGCAGAUCAGUAGUAAAGAGAGAGGUAGCCGGUGUGUAAAGCGAGGAAGGGACCAGCACAGGCAUUUCCCGGAGAAUUUGUAGGAGUGACCCGUAAAGCGCGUCAGCGAUAUUCGCCAUCACUGGUCAUGGGCGAGUCCAGAUUGAAGUCCAGGUGAGCCAGUGCCAGGCCUGCCAGCAGCACAUGGCUCCCUCCCAUCGCUGAUGGGAAUGCAGAGUGACUCACCUCUUCCGAAAGCGGCCGGCGCUGCUGUCUGACCAGGGGGCUCCCUGGGCGGAAUGCAUGGAGACAGGAGUGUCUGCCCAGACAGAGUGUGCAUGGGUGUUCACGUGGGCGUUGUGCCCAAUGUCGUGGAAGGGGAGCAGCCACUGUGACCCGUGCCCGGAGAGCAGCGUCCAGCAUGAGGGGAGUGGAGCAUGGCAUGAGCUGCCGGCUGGGGAACCUGCCAGGGCAGGAGACUGACACAGCCCGAGGCUGGGGACUGUGCUGUGUGAGGAGCUGUCUGCAGAGACAGAAGGUGGCUGGCUGUUGGCUGCCCGCGCCUUGUGGGUGUGCGGCAGUGAGGUGC
ensembl:lncRNA